AUUGAACGCUAGCGGGAUGCUUUACACAUGCAAGUCGAACGGCAGCACGAGGAAGUUUACUUCUUUGGUGGCGAGUGGCGGACGGGUGAGUAAUGUAUCGGAACGUGCCCAGUAGUGGGGGAUAACUACGCGAAAGCGUAGCUAAUACCGCAUAUUCUCUUCGGGGGAAAGGGGGGAUCAUUUGACCUCUCGCUAUUGGAGCGGCCGAUAUCAGAUUAGUUAGUUGGUGGGGUAACGGCCUACCAAGGCAGUGACCUGUAGCUGGUUUGAGAGGACGACCAGCCACACUGGGACUGAGACACGGCCCAG
rnacentral:rRNA from 1 species